AGCAAACGUGUUAAAUCCUUUUAGAAAUUGAAAAGUAAACUAAAAUGUAACCUGAAGUAAUUGCCCUUUAGGUUGUAGAUCACAUGCCAAAGUAGCACC